GAGAGGGGAUAUAGGGAGAGGCAAGGGAUAGGAAGGAGCAGUGAAGUGAAGAGAGCGGGGGUAAGGACAAGUCUUCGAUUUGAUACGGGCAUGUACAGGAAGCCAGUGUCUUGAUUGAAUUGGGAAGUGGGCGUCCCCGGGAAAACGAGAAGCUUCACAGGUGUGUGCUGGUGUUGUGAAGCGAGCCCUCCUGCUUACUCUGGUCUCUCUCUCGCUCUGGAGUUGUGUCCUCGAGGCUGUGCUGGACGCACGAAAC